UAAUUCUGCUCCAUACAUUUAAAUAACAGUAAAGGCGUGGACGAUAAACCCGCACCACCCUUUAAAGUAGGUUAAUUUGCUGUAAAGUAAAUUCACAAAUUAAAUUGCUGUAUGGACGUUAAUGCCGCACCAUACUUUAAAUGACAGUAAAGGCGUGGACGAUAAUCCCGCACCACCCUUUAAAGUAGGUUAAUUUGCUGUAAAGUAAAUUCACAAAUUAAAUUGCUGUAUGGACGUUAAUGCCGCACCAUACUUUAAAUGACAGUAAAGGAGACAGAGGAAUAACCACAUAGUGUUGAGUUGAAAAAUUUCAGAAAUAAAAGGAGAGACUAUCGUGCUGAUAACGUGUUAUAAAAUAACCUGAGAUAUGUGCGGAUAUUUUGAGUUGUACGUAAAGUAGAUGAGACACAGCAUUUAAUGAGGUUCGGCUAUGCCUACGUCCUCGGAGAGCAGCAGCAGUAACUUUUUCACUAUAAAAUGAUAUGGCUACAACUUUAGUGUUUACAACAUAUGUGGCUCACUGAAGUUUCUCUCUAGGAAAAUUUCUCUCUGCUUUCUCUUCUCUCUUUUCUUUCCUUUUUUUUCUUCUUCUUUUUCUUUCCGUUUCUC
rnacentral:lncRNA from 1 species